rnacentral:lncRNA from 1 species
ACCCUCUCUCUCUUCUCUCUCUCCCUCUCCCUCUCUCUCUCUCUCUCUCUUUUAAAAAAUCAGCCAUUUGGGGUUUUAAGCCAUAAACGAUUUUUCUUGUUGCAGGGGAUUGCAGUGGCAAAGCUAGGCUAGGUCUUGGAGGCUGGUGUAAGGCGAUGUGGGUGAAGGCAGGAGGCUGAUGGAAAGACUGGGGGGAAGAAAAGCCGAAAUGGAUUCACGGUGCCUUGGAUGAAGGACGAGAGGGGAACUGCAAGCUCCUUCAACUGGUUCUGUCCGGUGAGAAGUGAUCAAGCUUGGGCUGACAAGAGGCUCAGGGAGCCCUCACGUUCUUUCGCUUUUUUACCUGCCAAUCAAACUGCUACAAGACAACACCCUGAUCUGGCAUGGACAUAUCCAACUUAGAAAUAAUGUUUCAUUCAAGAUAAGGCUCGUGGCUUAGGAGAUUGUGACCUGGCUUGCAUCAUUCUAAGACUUCUAUCGUCUGUUUUCAAAACCCAAGGAGGACCUCCUUUUCUGUGUGAUAGUUCCUCAUGCUUUGCCAGCCACUGGGUCUUUAAGGAAGCUUGCCAAGAGUUCCCGGCUGGGAAGGACAGUUCGAGUUCAUCAUAGACAAUGAGCUGGCACCACAGUUUAAGUGACUCACCAACCUGGUUGCCCACUUCAAAAUGUCAAGAACCACACUAUCUAAUUGAAAGAACUGUGUUUUAGCAAAGUGUAAUUGGAUCGCCUGGCAAGAUCAUCUCAAACUAUGUCUCUGACCUUGCCUUUCAGUGGCUAUUUUGAGCACAAGAGGAGAAAGGAAAUGAUUCCUGAAUUAUAUCUUGUUUUUAAAAAUUAAGAUUAAUUAAUACUUGGUUUUAUGUUCAUUCCAUUGUAGGAACUUAGUGAUUAUUACAAAACAGUCAAAAUAGGUCAUAGCAAAAUGAACGUUUAAGAUUAGGUUAAAACAUUCCUCUGAAAUUUUAGUAUUCACUUUUGAAGUGUCAAUUACUAUAUUUCUGUAAUUUCUCAUUUUUUUCUUGGCUUAGAGUCAAGAUGAAAAAUGAUAUUUGAAUCAAAGACAUUGUUUUGUUAUAUAGCCACUCCUUUCUAAAAUGCAAAUCCACCCUCCCCUCACCAAUGCUUUAUUCUUUGUGCGCGCACACACACACACACACACACACACACACACACACACACACAGACAUACACAGAACCAGCACCCAAAUGGUAGAGGAGGUCCUUCCAAGACUUCUAGGACCUGGAUCAUGUAAGCAGUAGAUGAGAAAAUGAAGUAAGAGAUAUAGAGUAAUAACAAUAAAAGUCAAUGAUUUCAUUUUACAAAAAAGUCAUUGUGUAGUACUCAGAUAUUUUUAAGAGCAAGUAUUAUUAUGACUAAAGUAUAUUAUACUUCUAAAUUAUUAUGAUUCUCAUCUAAUUUCAAGCCACACAUAGGCGCCAUUUGAAAGCAUUUUGUGUUACAACCUAUCAACAAAAAUCAACUAAUAGUUUUAUAACGUGCAUAGGUUUACCCCAUGGGGAAUUAAAAUUUUUAUCUGCAAGUAUUUCUGUUGUUGUGAGACUUUAGGACAAGACAACAUUUGGUGUUAACAUAGAAGAAUAUUCUAUGGCUUUUUUAGCUUUAAAGUUCAUUACUCUAAAAUAAAGUACACGUGGUAUUUUUUUCUUCCUAGUGUUCUCUUAUUAUAUGUAGAGUAUUUUCGGUUGUUGUUUUUAACGUAUACAUUAUUUUUAUUAAGUCAUUUCAUAAAAGAUAAGAUAUAUACUAA